rnacentral:rRNA from 1 species
AGAGUUUGAUCAUGGCUCAGAACGAACGCUGGCGGCAGGCCUAACACAUGCAAGUCGAGCGCCCGCAAGGGAGCGGCAGACGGGUGAGUAACGCGUGGGAACGUGCCCUUUGGUUCGGAAUAUUCCCGGGAAACUGGGAGCAAAACCGGAUAAGCCCUUCGGGGGAAAGAUUUAUCGCCUUUAGAGCGGCCCGCGUUAGAUUAGGUAGUUGGUGGGGUAACGGCCUACCAAGCCUACGAUCUAUAGCUGAUCUGAGAGGAUGAUCAGCCACACUGGGACUGAGACACGGCCCAGACUCCUACGGGAGGCAGCAGUGGGGAAUCUUGGACAAUGGGCGCAAGCCUGAUCCAGCCAUGCCGCGUGGAUGACUGAAGGCCCUAGGGUUGUAAAGUCCUUUCGACGGGGACGAUAAUGACGGUACCCGUAGAAGAAGCCUCGGCUAACUUCGUGCCAGCAGCCGCGGUAAUACGAAGGGGGCUAGCGUUGUUCGGAUUUACUGGGCGUAAAGGGCGCGUAGGCGGAUUUUUAAGUCGGGGGUGAAAUCCCGGAGCUCAACUCCGGAACUGCCUUCGAUACUGGAAGUCUGGAGCACGGUAGAGGUGAGUGGAAUUCCGAGUGUAGAGGUGAAAUUCGUAGAUAUUCGGAGGAACACCAGUGGCGAAGGCGGCUCACUGGACCGUUGCUGACGCUGAGGCGCGAAAGCGUGGGGAGCAAACAGGAUUAGAUACCCCGGUAGUCC